CCUACGGGUGGCUGCAGUGGGGAAUAUUGGACAAUGGGCGAAAGCCUGAUCCAGCCAUGCCGCGUGUGUGAAGAAGGCCUUCGGGUUGUAAAGCACUUUCAGUGGGGAAGAAAGCCUUGGGGCUAAUACCCUCGAGGAAGGACAUCACCCACAGAAGAAGCACCGGCUAACUCCGUGCCAGCAGCCGCGGUAAUACGGAGGGUGCGAGCGUUAAUCGGAAUUACUGGGCGUAAAGCGCGCGUAGGCGGUCUGAUAAGCCGGUUGUGAAAGCCCCGGGCUCAACCUAGGAACGGCAUCCGGAACUGUCAGGCUAGAGUGCAGGAGAGGAAGGUAGAAUUCCCGGUGUAGCGGUGAAAUGCGUAGAGAUCGGGAGGAAUACCAGUGGCGAAGGCGGCCUUCUGGACUGACACUGACGCUGAGGUGCGAAAGCGUGGGUAGCAAACAGGAUUAGAUACCCUUGUAGUC
rnacentral:rRNA from 1 species